AUUGAACGCUGGCGGCAGGCUUAACACAUGCAAGUCGAGCGAGCGGCGGACGGGUGAGUCAUGUCUGGGAAACUGCCUGAUGGCGGGGGCUAACUACUGGAAACGGUAGCUAAUACCGCAUACCAUCAGAUGUGCCCAGAUGGGAUUAGCUACUAGGUGGGGUAAUGGCGAACCUAGGCGACGAUCCCUAGCUGGUCUGAGAGGAGGACCAGCCACACUGGAACUGAGACACGGUCCAGAGGCCGACGGGAGGCAGCAGUGGGGAAUAUUGCACAAUGGGCGCAAGCCUGAUGCAGCCAUGCCGCGUGUGUGAAGAAGGCCUUCGGGUUGUAAAGCACUGUCAGCGAGGAGGCGUUACUCGCAGAAGAAGCACCGGCUAACUCCGUGCCAGCAGCCGCGGUAAUAC
rnacentral:rRNA from 1 species